CCUACGGGUGGCUGCAGUGGGGAAUAUUGGACAAUGGGGGCAACCCUGAUCCAGCCAUGCCGCGUGUGUGAAGAAGGCCCUCGGGUUGUAAAGCACUUUCAGUGAGGAAGAACGCCUGGUGGUUAAUACCCAUCAGGAAAGACAUCACUCACAGAAGAAGCACCGGCUAACUCCGUGCCAGCAGCCGCGGUAAUACGGAGGGUGCGAGCGUUAAUCGGAAUUACUGGGCGUAAAGCGCGCGUAGGUGGCUUGAUAAGCCGGUUGUGAAACCCCCGGGCUCAACCUGGGAACGGCAUCCGGAACUGUCAAGCUAGAGUGCAGGAGAGGAAGGUAGAAUUCCCGGUGUAGCGGUGAAAUGCGUAGAGAUCGGGAGGAAUACCAGUGGCGAAGGCGGCCUUCUGGACUGACACUGACACUGAGGUGCGAAAGCGUGGGUAGCAAACAGGAUUAGAUACCCCUGUAGUC
rnacentral:rRNA from 1 species